rnacentral:misc_RNA from 1 species
UCACCAGCCCAAGCUACAAAAAUUGUGCAUUCGAGGAUCAUGGAUUCACCUGCCUCUAUGCCAAGUGGUAAAAUGAUAUGAUGCUAACCUAUACACACUUGACUACAAUUAAAAUCCAGUUCAAGUGACAAAUGGGCUACAGGAUCUUAGCCCAUAUGUUGGGGAUGCAUAUGACGCUAUUGUUUGUGGUUAGAUUUUACAUAGAAGCAUUCACUGGAUAGAAGUGUACAUUGUCACACAUCCGGACAAUUAUGGUUAUUCUAUUUCCAUGCAACUCUUCUUAGGAGGAUGAAUACAUAUCUAUGCAAAUCCAGCAACAUAAGAUAAAUCCAGCCAAUGGAAAUUAUUUCUUGACAAAUUCUUUUUUUCCUUGGGACUUGGUGAAGGCAAUCAAAUUUGUCCAUUUAAAACCAAUGAAGACAGCAAAUUUUUCAUGACUGUGAAAGCAACAAAAGCAUGCAAAAGACUUAUGAAGCAGCUUAUCAAACUUACAUCAAGAUUGGCUUGAAGCUCGG